AGCGAACGCUGGCGGCAGGCCUAACACAUGCAAGUCGAACGAACUCUUCGGAGUUAGUGGCGGACGGGUGAGUAACACGUGGGAACGUGCCUUUAGGUUCGGAAUAACUCAGGGAAACUUGUGCUAAUACCGAAUGUGCCCUUCGGGGGAAAGAUUUAUCGCCAUUAGAGCGGCCCGCGUCUGAUUAGCUAGUUGGUGAGGUAACGGCUCACCAAGGCGACGAUCAGUAGUUGGUCUGAGAGGAUGACCAGCCACACUGGGACUGAGACACGGCCCAGACUCCUACGGGAGGCAGCAGUGGGGAAUCUUGCGCAAUGGGCGAAAGCCUGACGCAGCCAUGCCGCGUGAAUGAUGAAGGUCUUAGGAUUGUAAAAUUCUUUCACCGGGGACGAUAAUGACGGUACCCGGAGAAGAAGCCCCGGCUAACUUCGUGCCAGCCGCCGCCGUAAAAC
rnacentral:rRNA from 1 species